rnacentral:rRNA from 1 species
CCUACGGGAGGCAGCAGUGAGGAAUAUUGGUCAAUGGGCGCGAGCCUGAACCAGCCAAGUCGCGUGAGGGAAGACGGUCCUCUGGAUUGUAAACCUCUUUUGUCGGGGCGCAAAAGACGCCACGCGUGGCGUUCCGAGAGUACCCGAACAACAAGCAUCGGCUAACUCCGUGCCAGCAGCCGCGGUAAUACGGAGGAUGCGCGCGUUAUCCGGAUUUAUUGGGUUUAAGGGGUGCGCAGGGGGAAGAUCAAGUCAGCGGUAAAAUUGAGAGGCUCAACCUCUUCGAGCCGUUGAAACUGGGUUUCUUGAGUGAGCGAGAAGUAUGCGGAAUGCGUGGUGUAGCGGUGAAAUGCAUAGAUAGCACGCAGAACUCC